AAACUGUGCCCUACUUCCCUUUGUCUGACCUCUCGAUGACCUUUUAUUCUCUAGUUGACAUUUUCUCUUUGACCCUGUAGUUGGAGCAGAUGCUGGAGGGUAGUGCGGUGAGGGCCCAGAAGCAGCUGGUGUUGUUAGACAGUGAGGAUGGCCCACUACCCCAGGGAACUGUGGAGAGGCUCAACAUGAGGAGCUGGAUCUCCAGACACCUGCACCUCUCCUGCCCAUGCAGGGUCUACUACACAGGCACGCACGCAAACACACACAUCUGAUCUGCCAAAACUGCACAAUCAGACACCACCCAUAACCAAGUUAGAAUUGCCAAAUAACCCCACUGUUAUUUCUAGUGUCCAACCACUAGAAGUGGUGUGUUAAGCUCUUCUGAUUGUCUGUCUCUCCUCUGCAGAUAGAGAUGUACCCGCUUGUGUUCCAAAAGACAGCUGACAGCCAUUCAGACUUUUCACGUCUGCCCAGGGUGCUGACCGGAAAUGCCAUCGCCCUCAUAUGGGGGAGGAGGAGACAGAUACAGGGAACGCUGCAGAGACUGGUUAGUCAUCAGAACCACCAACAUGAUGAAAGCCGAGACAUUACGUCAAUCCACAUUCCUUUAAGUUUGAUGGGGGAGUGUCUCUCGCUGUGGACCUGGUGGGUGGCGUUUCCAUUGGCUCCCUGAUGGGGGCGCUGUACACAGAGGACCACAGCCGCAUGUGAAAGAGGGCAUGAGAGUGGGCCAUGGUGAGAAGAACCACAACACCUCAUCUAGUCUCUUUCUCAGUUUUUCUUUCCUCAAUUCGUUGCGUCCUCCGUCCUCGCCUCCUUCUCAAAAUGCAUUGGAAGAAAAAGUCAAAGGCGAGGGAGAUUGGAUAUUUUGUCCAAAAUACCUUGAAAAGGAGGCAAGGAGGGAGGAUGCAAGGAAUCCAGGAAAGACAAAUGUAGAAAUAUGAAUUUGAUCUUCACUCAACCUUUAACUGUCGCCUAUUGGCAAGUGUUUACAUUUUGGCCAGGAUGGUCUUGUGACUUCAAUGGGACAAAGUGAUCAAAUUAAAGGUGAAUUAUAAGGGUUCUCAUCGAUUUUUUCGCAGUCUUUUUGAUGGUAUGUUGCAGGACAUGACAUCAGAUUUUAAAAAGGUGAUGGACCUGACCUACCCCAUCACUUCUACGUUCUCUGGCGCUGACUUCAACUCCAGCAUUUACAGUGUUCAAGGGCAAGCAGAUUGGUGAGGACGAGACACCUUCACAGCACAGCUGGAGUUAGUCUUGGGACUAACUGGCAGAGAAAGUGAAUGUGAGCCUCUCUCACAGUGCUGUACAGGUGCUGUGUAAACCUAAAUAUAUUUUAUUAAUACACCUUUAAUGGCUUGUGAUAAUUUGCAAUUAAUUUCUAUGACUUGAUAUUUGGGUUCAUAUCGGAGUGAAAGUUGGUUACUACGAAUAUACAAGCCAUUUUUUAAAUAAUUACUUGAAAUGUAUAGGAUUACUUAGGAUGUGUCCCAAAUUGUACCCUGUUCCCUAUUUAGUGCACUGUUUUUGCUCUUUUCAAACGUAGUGCACUGUAAGGAAUAGGGUGUCAUUUGGGACGCAACAACAGGACACUGGAGGUGUGAGCACAGUUCAGCUGUCAGGGUGGUAUUUGACCUUCGACCCCUGUAGAUGUGGCUGCCCUACGUGUGUUGUGUGCAUCAGUGAAGAGCAGUGACUACUGCGAGUACAUCAGACCGCCCACAAACCGCUACCGCACACUGGAGUUUGGCAAGUUCGACAAGAUCCUUGUGAGUCUCACUCCUUGUCUUCGACAUGGGGAGUUGGUCUGUCAUUCAGUGUCUUUUUUGCUUCCUCUUGCUCUCCCUCUUACUCUAGACCACACUUCUUCACACUUCAUCUAUCUUUCCUCCUCCUUAGUCAAAAGUGUGAAAAGGAUUUAAAGGAUUGCCGGAGAUUAGCUACAUUAGAUUCAGCCUUUGUUUGUGUGUGAGAAUGAUGUGUGUGUGCAGGAGGUGGGUUACCAGCAUGGCAACACUGUGUUCGAUGUGUGGAUUCACAGUGGAGUGGUGGAGAUCAUGCUGUAGGACCACCACCAGGAGGAGUCUCGUAACACACACAGCAACAACAAUGUGAGGGAGGGAGUAUCAGGGAGGGAGGGAGGGAGUAUCAGGGAGGGAGAGAGUAUCAGGGAGUGAG
rnacentral:lncRNA from 1 species